GAGCACGUAGGUGGGUUUGUAAGUCAGAUGUGAAAGCCCUCUGUUCAACGGAAGAAUUGCAUCUGAAACUGCGAGUCUUGAGUGUAGGAGGGGAGAAUGGAACUUCCGGUGGAGCGGUGAAAUGCGUAGAUAUCAGAAGGAACUCCGGCGGCGAAAGCGAUUCUCUGGCCUAUUACUGACACUCAGUGUGCGAAAGCUAGGGGAGCAAACGGGAUUAGAUACCCCGGUAGUCCUAGCCGUAAACGAUGGGCACUAAGUAGAGGGGUUUU
rnacentral:rRNA from 1 species